rnacentral:rRNA from 1 species
UACGGAGGGGGCUAGCGUUGUUCGGAAUUACUGGGCGUAAAGCGCGCUUAGGCGGACCUGCAAGUCAGGGGUGAAAUCCCGAGGCUCAACCUCGGAACUGCCUUUGAUACUGCGGGUCUCGAGUCCGGGAGAGGUGAGUGGAAUUCCUAGUGUAGAGGUGAAAUUCGUAGAUAUUAGGAAGAACACCAGUGGCGAAGGCGGCUCACUGGCCCGGUAAUGACGAUGAGGCGCGAAAGCGUGGGGAGCAAACAGG